ACGAACGCUGGCGGCGUGCUUAACACAUGCAAGUCGAACGGAAAGGCCCCUUUGGGGGUACUCGAGUGGCGAACGGGUGAGUAACACGUGAGUAACCUGCCCUUGACUUCGGGAUAACUUCAGGAAACUGGGGCUAAUACCGGAUAGGAAUCCUUGCUGCAUGGUGGGGGUUGGAAAGCUUCGGCGGUUUUGGAUGGACUCGCGGCUUAUCAGCUUGUUGGUGGGGUAGUGGCUUACCAAGGCUUUGACGGGUAGCCGGCCUGAGAGGGCGACCGGCCACAUUGGGACUGAGGUACGGCCCAGACUCCUACGGGAGGCAGCAGUGGGGAAUAUUGCACAAUGGGCGGAAGCCUGAUGCAGCAACGCCGCGGGCGGGAUGACGGCCUUCGGGUUGUAAACCGCUUUCAGCAGGGGCGAAGCUUGUGGUGACGGUACCUGCAGAAGAAGCACCGGCUAACUACGUG
rnacentral:rRNA from 1 species